rnacentral:rRNA from 1 species
UACGAAGGGUGCAAGCGUUACUCGGAAUUACUGGGCGUAAAGCGUGCGUAGGUGGUUUGUUAAGUCUGCUGUGAAAGCCCCGGGCUCAACCUGGGAAUGGCAGUGGAUACUGGCAAGCUAGAGUGCGGUAGAGGGGUGUGGAAUUCCCGGUGUAGCGGUGAAAUGCGUAGAGAUCGGGAGGAACACCAGUGGCGAAGGCGGCACCCUGGACCAGCACUGACACUGAGGCACGAAAGCGUGGGGAGCAACCAGG